rnacentral:rRNA from 1 species
UGUGCCUAGCCCCGCGCGGUAAUACGUAGGGCGCAAGCGUUGUCCGGAAUUAUUGGGCGUAAAGAGCUCGUAGGCGGUUUGUCGCGUCUGCUGUGAAAGCCCGGGGCUCAACCCCGGGUCUGCAGUGGGUACGGGCAGACUAGAGUGCAGUAGGGGAGACUGGAAUUCCUGGUGUAGCGGUGAAAUGCGCAGAUAUCAGGAGGAACACCGAUGGCGAAGGCAGGUCUCUGGGCUGUUACUGACGCUGAGGAGCGAAAGCAUGGGGAGCGAACAGGAUUAGAUACCCUGGUAGUCCAUGCCGUAAACGUUGGGCACUAGGUGUGGGGGACAUUCCACGUUCUCCGCGCCGUAGCUAACGCAUUAAGUGCCCCGCCUGGGGAGUACGGCCGCAAGGCUAAAACUCAAAGGAAUUGACGGGGGCCCGCACAAGCGGCGGAGCAUGCGGAUUAAUUCGAUGCAACGCGAAGAACCUUACCAAGGCUUGACAUCCACCGGACCGCACUGGAGACAGUGCUUCCCUUCGGGGCUGGUGGACAGGUGGUGCAUGGUUGUCGUCAGCUCGUGUCGUGAGAUGUUGGGUUAAGUCCCGCAACGAGCGCAACCCUCGUUCUAUGUUGCCAGCACGUGAUGGUGGGGACUCAUAGGAGACUGCCGGGGUCAACUCGGAGGAAGGUGGGGAUGACGUCAAAUCAUCAUGCCCCUUAUGUCUUGGGCUUCACGCAUGCUACAAUGGCCGGUACAAAGGGUUGCGAUACUGUGAGGUGGAGCUAAUCCCAAAAAGCCGGUCUCAGUUCGGAUUGAGGUCUGCAACUCGACCUCAUGAAGUCGGAGUCGCUAGUAAUCGCAGAUCAGCAACGCUGUCGGGUGAUUGCGUUCCCGGGCCUUGCACAACCCCGCCCGUCAGAAA